GCCUACGGGGGGCAGCAGUGAGGAAUAUUGGUCAAUGGCCGAGAGGCUGAACCAGCCAAGUCGCGUGAGGGAUGACGGCCCUACGGGUUGUAAACCUCUUUUGUCGGGGAGCAAGACCCGCCUCGUGCAGGCGGAGCGAGAGUACCCGAAGAAAAAGCAUCGGCUAACUCCGUGCCAGCAGCCGCGGUAAUACGGAGGAUGCGAGCGUUAUCCGGAUUUAUUGGGUUUAAAGGGUGCGCAGGCGGACCAUCAAGUCAGCGGUAAAAAUGCGGAGCUCAACUCCGUCGAGCCGUUGAAACUGCCGU
rnacentral:rRNA from 1 species